GACGAACGCUGGCGGCGUGCUUAACACAUGCCAGUCGAACGCUUAAGCUUGGUGCUUGCCCUGGGUGGAUGAGUGGCGAACGGGUGAGUAAUACGUGAGUAACCUGCCCUUGACUCUGGGAUAAGCCUGGGAAACUGGGUCUAAUACUGGAUACGACAUGUCACCGCAUGGUGGUGUGUGGAAAGGGUUUUACUGGUUUUGGAUGGGCUCACGGCCUAUCAGCUUGUUGGUGGGGUAAUGGCUCACCAAGGCGACGACGGGUAGCCGGCCUGAGAGGGUGACCGGCCACACUGGGACUGAGACACGGCCCAGACUCCUACGGGAGGCAGCAGUGGGGAAUAUUGCACAAUGGGCGAAAGCCUGAUGCAGCGACGCCGCGUGAGGGAUGACGGCCUUCGGGUUGUAAACCUCUUUCAGCACGGAAGAAGCGAAAGUGACGGUACGUGCAGAAGAAGCGCCGGCUAACUACGUG
rnacentral:rRNA from 1 species